AACGAACGCUGGCGGCAUGCCUAACACAUGCAAGUCGAACGAGACCUUCGGGUCUAGUGGCGCACGGGUGCGUAACGCGUGGGAACCUGCCCUUAGGUUCGGAAUAACUCCCCGAAAGGGGUGCUAAUACCGGAUAAUGUCUUCGGACCAAAGGUUUAUCGCCUUUGGAUGGGCCCGCGUUUGAAUAGCUAGUUGGUAGGGUAAAAGCCUACCAAGGCGACGAUCCAUAGCUGGUCUGAGAGGAUGAUCAGCCACACUGGGACUGAGACACGGCCCAGACUCCUACGGGAGGCAGCAGUGGGGAAUAUUGGACAAUGGGCGAAAGCCUGAUCCAGCAAUGCCGCGUGAGUGAUGAAGGCCUUAGGGUUGUAAAGCUCUUUUACCCGGGAUGAUAAUGACAGUACCGGGAGAAUAAGCUCCGGCUAACUCCGUG
rnacentral:rRNA from 1 species